AUUGAACGCUGGCGGCAGGCCUAACACAUGCAAGUCGAGCGAGCGGCGGACGGGUGAGUAAUGUAUGGGGAUCUGCCUGAUGGAGGGGGAUAACUACUGGAAACGGUAGCUAAUACCGCAUACCAUCAGAUGAACCCAUAUGGGAUUAGCUGGUUGGUAAGGUAACGGCUUACCAAGGCGACGAUCCCUAGCUGGUCUGAGAGGAUGAUCAGCCACACUGGGACUUAGAAACGGCCCAGACUCCUACGGGAGGCAGCAGUGGGGAAUAUUGCACAAUGGGCGCAAGCCUGAUGCAGCCAUGCCGAGUGAAUGAAGAAGGCCUUCGGGUUGUAAAGUUCUUUCGGUAGCGAGGCGUUAACUACAGAAGAAGCACCGGCUAACUCCGUGCCAGCAGCCGCGGUAAUUC
rnacentral:rRNA from 1 species